GGUAGUCGGCGGACGGGUGAGUAACGCGUAGGAAUCUAUCCUUGAAUGGGGGACAACCGUGGGAAACUACGGCUAAUACCGCAUGAUGCCUGAGGGCCAAAGACGAAAGUCGUUUGAGGAGGAGCCUGCGUCUGAUUAGGUAGUUGGUGGGGUAAAGGCCUACCCAAGCCUACGAUCAGUAGCUGGUCUGAGAGGAUGAUCAGCCACAUUGGGACUGAGACACGGCCCAAACUCCUACGGGAGGCAGCAGUGGGGAAUAUUGGACAAUGGGCGCAAGCCUGAUCCAGCAAUGCCGCGUGGGUGAAGAAGGUCUUCGGAUUGUAAAGCCCUUUUGGCGGGGACGAUGAUGACGGUACCCGCAGAAUAAGCUCCGGCUAACUUCGUG
rnacentral:rRNA from 1 species